CGGAGCACCACGCGCGCCAGCAUCACCGCACGCAGAUCUACGCGCGAUCCCCGCGCACGACCUACGACACCACGCAAGAUCGACGUCUCCAGAACACAACUCGCGAAGACAACAAGAAGCCAUCACGUCGUGUCCGACUACACUCCACAUAUCUUCCUCAGCCUACGUUCACCUUCGACGUCGACGACCAUCUUACCAGCUCCUCGGACAACCUGGAGAGAUCUCCCGCUCCGUCCACCUGACAGAAGACUCAGCCCACGCCACGAAGAACGUGAUACAACACUAACCCCUUCAUCAAUAAUUAAUUAGUAAACAAUUUCUCGUUCAACAAAGGAUUAAUACCGGAGAGCCCAAACCCCCUGGGGGGACGCACAAUUAAUUAACUACGAGUGAACCCAAGACGAUCUACGCGCGAUCCCCGCGCACGACCUACGACACCACGCAAGAUCGACGUCUCCAGAACACAACUCGCGAAGACAACAAGAAGCCAUCACGUCGUGUCCGACUACACUCCACAUAUCUUCCUCAGCCUACGUUCACCUUCGACGUCGACGACCAUCUUACCAGCUCCUCGGACAACCUGGAGAGAUCUCCCGCUCCGUCCACCUGACAGAAGACUCAGCCCACGCCACGAAGAACGUGAUACAACACUAACCCCUUCAUCAAUAAUUAAUUAGUAAACAAUUUCUCGUUCAACAAAGGAUUAAUACCGGAGAGCCCAAACCCCCUGGGGGGACGCACAAUUAAUUAACUACGAGUGAACCCAAGACGAUCUACGCGCGAUCCCCGCGCACGACCUACGACACCACGCAAGAUCGACGUCUCCAGAACACAACUCGCGAAGACAACAAGAAGCCAUCACGUCGUGUCCGACUACACUCCACAUAUCUUCCUCAGCCUACGUUCAC